rnacentral:rRNA from 1 species
UACAGAGGGGGCGAGCGUUGUUCGGAAUUACUGGGCGUAAAGGGCGCGUAGGCGGCCAACUAAGUCAGACGUGAAAUCCCUCGGCUCAACCGGGGAACUGCGUCUGAUACUGGAUGGCUUGAAUUCGGGAGAGGGAUGCGGAAUUCCCGGUGUAGCGGUGAAAUGCGUAGAUAUCUGGAGGAACACCGGUGGCGAAGGCGGCAUCCUGGACCGAGAUUGACGCUGAUGCGCGAAAGCCAGGGGAGCAAACGGG